GAAGUAGUGUCGUCCAAAGAUGGCCGCCCCCAUGUUUAAACGCUGCCUGACUGCUACUGUCAAAGUUAAACAUCUAUCACCCUCUUUUCCGGCAAGAAGAUGGUUACUUUCAACAGCGUAUUCAGACACUAAAGCGUGGGAGGCAAGAGAGAAGAACCCUCAGAAUUUGGCUGUCCUGGCCAAUAAUAUGGACAGAGUAUAUGGCAGGAAUCUUCCAGUCAGCUCUCUGACGAUGUCACAGUUUGUAGACAACAUAUCAUGCCGCGAGGAGGUUGACCAAGCAGAGUACUACCUUUACAAGUUUCGUCACAGUCCAAAUUGUUGGUACCUUCGAGACUGGACCAUUCACAGCUGGAUCAGACAGUGUCUUAAAUAUGGCGCCAGAGAUAAGGCCCUGCACACACUUAAAAACAAGGUCCAGUAUGGAAUCUUUCCAGAUAAUUUCACCUUUAACCUGCUUAUAGAUUCUUACCUGAAGGAUGAGGACCUAAAAAGUGCAUUCUCCGUGGUGGAAGAGGUGAUGCUCCAGGAGUCUUUUGACCUUUCCUCCACCCAGAUCCUGUCGCUGUAUGUGCUUGGCAAUUACCUAGCAACCGCACACCAAUUGACUAUGUCAGAGGAGAGAGCAUUGGGAGCAUCGCUACUCAUCUGUGGCUUCAAACAAGACAACAGCGUCGGUCUCACUGCUCAGCUACUGGGAAACACUCUGCUGGGCAAAGUGGAGAUGCAGAACGGCAUCCACGCUGUGUUCAAGGGCAUGCCUCUUCUCUGGACACGAGGAUAUCUGGGCCGAGCACUGGCUGUCAUGGAGAACGUCAUCGCAUCGCCCGGUGAUGUCAAACUGCCCAAAGACUCGUUGCAUUUUGUGAGUGAGGUGCUGCAGCAACUGUCUUCAGUGUCCUCUGACUCGUCUGGAGAGGAGUCGGACAAGGAGGAAGAGCAGAAACUGGAAACAGUCGAUGAAGAUGAUCAGGCGGAAAGAGAAAGACUGUCCAAAUAUGAGAGCAGAUUCAAGGAUUUGAUCGGUCAGCUGGAAGCUCAGGGAAAAAUCGACUCUGAGGCCAACUUCCGGUCUCUGGUGACCAGUCUGGCCAAGCAGCAGUUGCCCUCCGCCGAGAGACCGGACCUAGAUCAGUACGAGAGUAUGCUGCUGGCCUGGGAGGCUGACAGGAGGCAGCUGAUCCAGAGGGAGCAGGAGAUGAGGAGUAAGGCCGAGGAGGAGAAUCGGCAGCGUCUGAUUGCCAGAGCAGACCUACAGGAAGCGCAAUAAGUUGUAUUAAUAAUAUGCAUAUGUUUUUUUUUAACAUUUCUUGUGGGCUAAAAUUAAAAGAAAAUGUAAUUAGUGGCGUCAAUUGUGUAACCUCUUUUUCAUAAGUAGGACAAAAAAAGGAGACUGUUGGGAUCACAUCCUCCCAUUGCUUUUCCUGUGUGCUGGGGAGUUUUCUCACAGGGGUAAAGAAAGGGGAAUUGCACGGAAGAAUUUCCUGAUAACUAAUCUGCAGAAAGGGAAUUAUUUGCUUGCAUAGGGAGACCAUUGAUGAGAGGUGAGCACAUUAUAUGGUGUUGAUAAAAUGCAUGAAGCCAGAAAGACGAUCCUACCCGUAUAAAACAUGAAGCGCUUCACUUGGUGACAGAGAAUCCCUAACUGUUUAGAUGUAAAAGAUAACAAAUCCCAUGUGGGAAAAACAACAACGCAUCUUAGGUUGUGUUAUUUAGAAUUCAGAAUUCCUUUUGUAUUCACCUGGAUGUAUUCAAAUGUCAAGACCCAGAAAUAAUAUGUCAUGUUGUCCUAAGACUUUUGCACAGUACUGUCUCGAAAAACGAGUGUUGCAUCAUUUGCAACCCUGGGCCUGGGCGGAGAUAUAGGAGACUUUGUGAAAGUUAAAUAAAUAGGAGAAAAUGGAUGUUUUUAUGGGCUUGGAUACAGGCCCCUGUGUGCUGCUGUGAGACAUUCACUACACCAGGAAAUUGUAUUGCCAGCUGAUAUUCCAGCUGGUUAGACAUAUUAACCACGGAGCCAGCACUUUCUUAUCAACACUUUUGUACUGUACAUCAUGUUCUUUUUUUUUUUUUUUUUGCUGAAUGUUAUAGUCAUGUCACAAAAGUGUUGAGGUCUAGCUGACCACAUCGUGGCCACUGCAUAUUUUAUUUCUCACCAAGGUCAACUGCUUCAUCUACUCCCUUUUUAAACUGAUUAGCAAUAAUGUUUAUUUUUGUCUGUCUUAUUUGUUUGCAGGGAGAUGAGCAUAGCAUUUGUCCUGACAGGGGCUUAUUGCACGUUUAUUCAAUAUAGAAAUGAAUUAGACAAGCUUGAGGUUAUAAUUGGGAAUUGGAUUUAGUGUCUCAUUCAGUUUGUGUGCACAUUGGAAAAAAUUUAAUAUGAUUUGUUUGUAAUCUAAGUUGUCAUACAAAGACCUUCAUUUAUUCCAUUUUCAAUUUUUUUUUAAGCGCACUUGUCUGCAACUUACCAUGCCUUUAUGUUGUUUGGGUUUCCGGCAUUACUCAUGACCUUUCAAUACGAUAAGUUUCUUUUCUGUAUUUGGGGGGGUUCAUAACUGAUCCACAUUUAGUUCUGAUGUAAUGUUUUCCCCCAGCCACCCUAACAUGAAGGAGCAGCGCUGCAUGUAUUGCUUCUAAAAGCAAAAUGCAAUGACUCCCCUGAUUACUUUACACCACUGUAAUCUCAUGUCAUCAUUUAAUCACGAUAGUUUUCGAAGAACCAAUGCAGCCCUUCCAAAAAAAAAAACGAGCUUGUGGGGAACCCUGAUAACCAGAUUUCAGGAAGAAGCGGGAAAAAGACGUGAAGUGUG